GGCAUCCGGGACCCGGGAUUCCGGGCGGAGCGCUGGGCCCGGGGCCUCCCGGGAACCCCAGUGGGUGGGGAGGUUGGGGACCCCAGGACUCAUAAUGGGUGAGGCGCCUCUGGCGUUUCUUUUGUGUGGGCCCACCCAGCCCGAUCCACGGUUGUGCUCCUCAACGUAUAAAAGGCCUUGCCCUCAAUGUUAAGUCUUUGAGACGCUCUCCUUCAAGGCAACCCUACAGAGCAGGGAAACUGAGGCCCAGGGGAACGGCUUGAGGUCCUGCAGCCACCGAGCGGCCUUAGUGACUUUACCGACUUGCUAAGUGAACUCAAGACGACGAUGACAGACUCCAACACAAGACUCAGCCCCUUCCUCCCGGGUUGGGGGGCAUCCACAGAGGGCAAGCCUGCCCGUGGUGCCCCCACAUCACGGGCCUGCCGGAACGGGCCUGCGCUGAUGUCGUACUGCGCUGGCUCCGUGUGGGCUUUGGGAACAAAGCAGCCAACAAGCAGACAAAUUCCCUGACCUUGGGGGCUUCCAGUCCAGUGGGGGAGGAGGAUGUAAAAUAAACAAGUAUACUGGGAGAGGGGCCUUUUGGAAAAAUAAAGCAGGGGAAGGGGAUAGGAAGUGAGUGUGCCUGAGAAGCGAGACAGGAUGAUGACAUUUUGAACCUCACCCAGCAGGUGCUGGGUUAGACUCAGAGGAGGAUGGAGCCAAGUGGGCAUGGCAGGGGGAGCCCCUCACGGCGUGGCCUGAAGCCAGCAUCUGGCCUGGCUCUCUUGCCUCCAGAAUCCUCCCUGUGGGCCCGUCAGCCACAGCCCCCAGGUCCGGUGGUGAGGGGUGCAGGCGGUUCCUGACCUGGAAACCUUCCCUAGCGCCUGGAGGGCUUUGCCACUGAAAACAGCUGGACUACCACACCCCACGCCUGCUGCAGGGAGGGCUGGUGCCUUGGCACCACUCAGGCACUACGGGGCCCCUUUGGGGUCCACAGUCCUGGACCGUCCCGCCUGCAAGAAACCUCAGAGGUGUGCCACCUCACUGUGGCUGGGGAUUCGGCAAACACUUGUUGAUAAGCCCUGUUUGCCAGAUGAGGAGGGCCCAGGAGUGCUUCAGUGCCAGGUACAAUUGCAAGAGGGGGCAGGGCUCCCUCUGCAGCUUUCCCAGGCUGCCAGAGACUUCAGGUUCAGCUGCCACCUUGAUGGUUGAGAGUCAGCUUCAGAGUGUGUGAAUUGCAGGGAGCAUGGGAUCCAGGUCCAUAUUGGAUCCACUGUAUCUUCAAGCCCAGCUCAGCACACAGUAGGUGCCCACUAAGCAUUCAGAUGGAUGAAGGCUAUAUCAGUUGCAGCUCGCUCUUCAGAGGAACCUCUGUGGGUAGCUUUCUGCUCCUGCAGGACCAUCCACUUUCUCCUCCUCAGCCCAGCUUCCUAUAGACCUGCCUUGUCACCAUGCGUCAAGGGAUGAAUGGGUCCCUCACAAGAUAUGUCCAAGUCCUAACCCCCAGUGCCGGUGAACGUGACCUUAUUCAGAAAGCGCCUUGAUUUCGGAUUCCUGUAAGAGAAGGCACCGCUGUUGGGUUCAGCCACCCGACCAGGAACCCCCCAAGGCAGGGGCCUCCCUUGAUCCAUCUCUGUGUCUCCCAGGCCCAGCUGUGGACCCAGGGUCAAAACAAAUAUGGUGCGAGGCUGCUGGCCACCCACCGAGGACCUCCCAGAGCACGCAGCAUGAGGUACUUCAGCAGAGCGCCCAGUGCAUGGAGCCGGCACACAGAGCCACCAAGGCAUGGAAAAAGCAUGGACUUGACUUACCACAUUAGCUGUGUGAUAUUGGGUGUGUUGCUUAACCUCUCUGAGCCUCGGGUGUAUUGUGGGAUAGGAGAUAGCAUGCUUAAGAUGCUCUAGAAUACUUGCUGCCUGAUUAUGGGCAUGAGUGAAUGACCCAGAUAGGGAAUCCCAGGCAGAGGGAGAGUCUUGGUACUGGGGGGUUCAGAACCUGACCCUUCUUGCUAUGAUCCUAUCAUCCUGCUACCCAGGCCCUACCUACUAUGUGGGUAUGUGUCUUGGUGAAUCUCAGGUGAUGAUGCUAUUGGAGAAAGAGCUCUGGACUUGAGUCAGGUUCCCAGUGCUGCCUUUUGCUAGCUGGGUGAUUUACCCUCGGCAAAGCUUUGCAGCCUCUGAGCAGGCUGUCCCAUCAGUGCUAAGUGGGAGAGAAUAAGGUACAUCUCUAAGGGUUACUUGGUCAGUAAGGGAACAGAUGAUGCUGACUUCUUUCUGGAGGCUUCCCCCCCUCUCUGAACAACACAGCAUUAAUAGUCUAAACCAGGGAAGCAGAUCAUCUCUCUGUAAUCCAUUGAUAAUGUUUUGAGCUCUGUGCUCACACGGGUUCUGUAAUUGCAUCCAGGCUUAGGGCUGGGAAACAGUGCUGUGAUCGAUUAGUGAUGUCUGUCUCAAAUUGAUUGGUGAUGUCUGUUACUGGCAGAGGGUUUAUAAAUGAUACACAUGCAGCUUUGCAUUUUCUGUCUCCUGUCAAGCUGUCUUUAAGGGCUCCAAAAACCUGCAAAUCAGAAGUUUUUAGUCUGAGCAACCAAUAAAUGUUGAGCUCCCUCUCUAUGUUCUGCUGAACAUGGAGAGAAAGCAAAGGAAGUACGCAGCCCAUUUCUGCCCACAGAGAGCUUACAAUCUCCUUGCAAUGGGUCCUGGCCAUUUUGAGUAUCCUUUACUUCUUUCCGCUUUUCUUCUAGAGUCUAGACUACCUCUCCCUUUACCAGCUGCUGCACUCCAAAUAGCUAUUGUGUGCACUUGGCCCAACUCCCAAGAGCAAGUGCUCAGGAAUUCUGCAGAAAAUAACAUCACCUAAAAUACAGCUGAGCUUCCAAGACAAGUCAUAACACUCUAGAGAAAUUACAGUUGCAUGACAGCAGCAACUGGACAGUGACUCUCAGCUGGGGCAAUGGAGGUAUUUCUGCUUAGGUUUGCGCAAGAUUUUUGCAGCAUGUUGCCAAACUCAGCUACGUAUGUUGCAAAGAUGUUUGGCAGCUCAGCGUUUCUCGAGGAUGGGAAGUGAUGUGGGCAGGGACACCCCAGCAAGUGGGCUUCUUAUCAUGGGUCACCACCUUGCUGCUGUUGUCCUCAGAGCCAGGGCCUAAUGAGAAAGGGCACUUUACAAAUUGCUACACAAUCUCUGGGGUUUUCUUACUGCUUAUGAACAAUUAAGUGGCAAGUAUGCGGGUGAAGGUGCAAGGUUUCAUUUGACGGGUGACUGAUGUGUUCCUAUGAGAAACUCUUAUCACCUCUUCACCAGCCAGGCCACAGAUGUCUUAGUUUCUCUGAUGCAGAGGAUAGGAGCUGGGUAGUUGGGGGCAGUCAGGAGAGGACAUGAAUUAAGCACCUGUGUGCCAAGCCCUGCACUGAAGACCCGUGUGUGUUUUCUUGUUCAACAUGGUGUGCAAUAAAUGGAACGGGGAGCCCUGGUCAGAUCCUGGCCCAGAACUUGCAGGUGAGUGACCUUGAAGGAAUGGCCCCCUCUUUUUUGAACCUUGGUCCUUCAUCCGUUAAAGGGGCACAAAAACAGCUCAUCAUGUGUUGAUGAAGACGAGAGUCACCACAGAUAAAGGAUUUUCUUAGAAGGGGCUUUCCACUCCUGGUAGCUGUUUUUGUUCGCCCAAAUCAAGGGCUGGCACACCCUGGCUCACAGCUUUUUAAAUAUGUAUCAAAAUGUCAAUAGUAUUAUGUAUAUUUUAUGUACAUUCCAAGGUUAAUUAUACACUGUACCCAUGUGUAUAUAAUUUUUUUUUCUUUUAGGUGAAAUUCAUAUAAUAUGGCAUUAACAGUUUUUAUUAUUUAUUUAUUUUUGGGGUAUCAUUAAUGUACAAUUACAUGAGCAACAUUAUGGUUACUAGACUCGCCCCAUUAUCAAGUCCCCACCACAUACCCCAUUACAGUCACUAUGCAUUAACCAUUUUUAAAUGAACAAUUUCACAGUGUUGCAACUAUCACCUCUAUCUGGUUCUAGAAAUUUCCAUCACCCCCAGAACAAGACCCCAUCCCCAUUAGCUGUCACCUCUCCUCCCCAAAUCCAUGGCACCCACCGAUCUGCUUUCUGUCUCUGUGGGUUUGCCUGUUCUGGACGUUUCGUAUAAAGGGAAUCAUGAUAUGUGACCUCAGCAGCUAAACAUGGUUUUUACAUUUAUGAAUGGCUGACCAAAAAAGUCGAAAGAACAGUAUUUCAUGAUACAUGAACACUCUGUGAAAAUCAAAUUUCAGUGUUCAUAAAAAUAUGUUUUAUUGGCACACAACCAUGCUCAUUUAUGGAUGUAUCAAGAUUGUGUGUCUACCGAGAAGCACUGGCCCACCAGCAGAAAAUACUGAAUCUCUGGCCCGAAGCUUAGGAAAGCUGAUUCUCUGGGGGCUGCCCGCAGCACUGCCUGUGGGCUCUGCAGUCUUAGCUGGCCUCCCAAGCCAUUGCUGCCCCUUGGCAUGCACUUAACAGGCACCCAUGGAGUACUUAUCAGGCAGGUGCCAGAGAGUCGGCCAUCAGCUAGAGUAAGCUGGGCCCUGCCCUUGCUUAGCUCCCGGAUGUUAGUAACUAGCCAGAUAAAUAUGAGGAUGAAUCUAAAGAAAUCCGUUAAGUUGGGAGUUUGGACAUUAAACAUAAGAGAUGUCUUAAGCACCUGCUCAUAAAGGUAGAGUUUAUUAGUGAUGACAGAUUUGAGAGCAAUUUUUCUUUAAUUUUGCUUAGAUGUUUUAUUACCUGUUGGCCCAUAAUGUCUGGGCUACAGGCUGCUUUUUUCAUUUUAUUUUUACUUUAUUUAAAAAUUUUUAAUUUUAAUUUAGAUGAAAAUUUUAGUUUUUUAUUUAGAUUUUUCAAAUUGUAUUUAAAAUUAAAAUUUUUAAUAUAGAUUACUUUUUAAAAUUAAGGUAUCAUUAAUAUACAAUCUUAUGAAGGUUUCACAUGAGCAACAUUCUGAUUAGUACAUUCACUCAUAUUAUCAAAUCCCCCUGACACCCCAUGGCAGUCACUGUCCAUCAGCGUAGUGAUAUGCUACAGAGUCACUACAUGUCUUCUCCAUGCUAUACUGCCUUCCCCGUGACCUACUUAUAUUGUGAAGACUAAUUAUAAUGCCCCUUAAUCCCCUUCUCCCUCCCUCCCCAUCCCCUUCCCUUUGGUAACUGAUAGUCCCUUCUUGGAGUCUGUGAGUCUGCUGCUGUUUUGUUCCUUCAGUUUUGCUUGUUGUUAUACUCCACAAAUCAGUGAAAUCAUUUGAUACUUGUCUUGCUCCGCCUGGCUUAUUUCACUGAGCAUAAUACCCUCUAGCUCCAUCCAUGUUGUAGCAAAUGGUAGGGUUUGUUUUCUUCUUAUGGCUGAAUAAUAUUCCAUUGUGUAUAUGUGCCACAUCUUCUUUAUCCAUUCAUCUACUGAUGGACACUUAGGUUGUUUCCAUUUCUUGGCUAUUGUAAAUAGUGCUGCAAUAAACAUAGGGGUGCAUAUGUAUUUUUGAAUCAGGGAUCUUGUUUUCUUUGGGUAAAUUCCUAGGAGUGAGAUUCCAGGAUCAAAUGGUAUUUCUAUUUUCAGUUUUUUGAGGAACCUCCAUAUUGCUUUCCACAAUAGUUGAACUAAUUUACAUUCCCACCAACAGUGUAGGAGGGUUCCCCUUUCUGUGCAUCCUCCCCAACAUUUGUUGUUCUAGUCUUUGAAUGGUGGCCAUCCUAACUGGUGUGAGGUGAUAUCUCAUUGUGGUUUUACUUUGCAUUUCCCUGAUGAUUAGCCAUGUGGAGCAUCUUUUCAUGUGCCUGUUGGCCAUCUGAAUCUCUUCUUUGGAGAAGUGUCUAUUCAGAUCCUCUGCCCAAUUUUUAACUGGGUUAUUUGCUUUUUGGGUGUUGAGGCAUGUGAGUUCUUUAUAUAUUUUGGAUGUUAAUCCCUUGUCAGUGCACAGGUUCCCUGGGGCACAGGGGCUAGCAGGCUCCGAAUGCCUGGAAGAUUCUGCUGAAGACUCCUGGCUGACCCUCCACCCCUGAGAUGGCAGUGGGGGUGCUGGGUCUGCAUCAUCCAUGCCCUUUUACGCAUGCAGUAGGCACUCAAUAAAUGCCGGUUCCAUCCUUUCAAAGAAAGGUAAGACUUGCAUGUAGCUGAAGUGUGUUCUCAGUGGACUUUGCCAAUGUGACCAUCAUCCAGCUUAAGACUUGGGAACAUGCAGCAGCCCUGAGGGCCCCCUCUGCUACAGAGGGAAACUACACCUCAGACCUCUGUCCCCAGAGAUGAGUUCUGCCCUCUGUUGCUUUGUGGAAUCACAGUGACACCCUCCUCUAUGUUUACUCCACAUCAUGCCCACAGGGUUCCUCCAUGUUCUGUAUAUAACAGGCGGCUGUUCCUUUUCAGGGGUGUAUAGUUUUCCAUUAAAUGAAUAUAGUAUUCAUGGUGUUCAUUCAUUGAUGCCAUUUGGGUUGUUUCCUUUUUUAUUUUUAUUUUUCUGCCAUCAUGAAUACUGUGGCUCUACUUCUUCUGUGAGGACAUAUGGUAUUAUUUCUUUGGGGGAGGAUUGGCUGGGCCCUCCGUUUUGUAGAUAACUGACAAAGUGAUGAUUGUGCCUAGUGAGCAUUUAUGAAAGCAAACCAGCCACCUCUAAGUGGAGCGCAGCUGCCUGAGAGCAAUGGCACACAGGGUCUGCAGAAGGCAAACACUGAGUGGUAUUGGGGACCAUCGCUCAGCCGCCUUGGGCCCAGCCUGGGCGGCAGCCAUUGAUCAUGCAGCUGCAGGUAGGAUUUUGUGAAACGAGGCAUCCCACACACAGCUGAGCCGCAGAGCACCUGUGGCCUCUGCGUUAUGAGUUUAUCCGGUCCUGGUUCCAGCAAUUGCGCCAGGGAAGGUGUGCGGGUGGCCCCUGAGGGAAAUACUGAAAAUACUAAAUUCAGCGUCAGCUGUGCACUACUUCCCUAAGCCACUGGCUCCUUUCUGUGCACCUCGGGUUUCCCUUUCUGUAGAAUGGGAAAGGUGUUCAGGGCGAAGUGCAACCCCAGCAGCGCAAGAGGAUCAAAGAGACGUCGGUAGAAAGUGAGUACCAAACCCUGGCUCGCCGUGCGCCCCCGCACCUGUGGCUGGGUCCCUGCCCCUCACCACCCUGAGAGCAGACGUUUCCACGGAAGAUUGGUGGCAGUUUACAAGAACUCAGCCUCGCCAGCGUAUCUCACAUAUGUACUUGGCCAUCCCGCCGGGGCCCACGUUCCCGUUAUCACUCCCGCGGAGGAGUCGGGGAUCCCCGCCAGAGAGUCACUCUCCCCUCUCGCGUCUCGCUGCUGCCAGCAGCUCCCCGGGCCGCGCUCGGGGCCCCAGCAGCUGGACGAGGCCGCCGGGUCCGCUUCCAGGGGCCAGUUGCAUAAAGUCUGUGUUACGUAAGUCCUGAGUCCGACUGUGGAAAACUCCCUAUUUUUUAUUUUUUUCUUUCUUCUUCUCUCCAGAAGGUUUCCAGCGUCACCCCAGCGCCAGCUGCAGGAGGGGGGAGCGGCUGUUUACACAUCUCGGUCAGAACAGCGCGCUUGGAGCCCCGGGCACGAUCUGUGUGAAUGUUUCCAGUGGUGCAAAAACACAUGUGAUUUGAGGGAAAAAAAAAAGAAGAAGAAAAGGGAAAAUGAAACAAGAAAACAACUUGUUUUCAAAGUUCCGCAGAGCUGGAACUUCAAGGCACGGCCCCUACGGAGCGGGUUUCUGGCCACCGUGGGGAACUGUUCCGGGAGAUUCCAGGGGCUUCCUUGGGCUCCUGGCAGACCGGCCGGCGUGUGCCCCCUGGCCCUGUACCCCGCACACUAGGGCCGCCCUGGGGUCCCCUGGAGGACGGACGGCUGCUUCUCUUACAGGGUUGCAGGCACUCAAGCAGCCCCGUAGUUACUGCAGACCUCGAUGUGACAGUCGGGUUUUCUUAAGAUGUAAAAACUUUUCCACUCAAAAGGCAGGUUUUGAAAAUAUGUCUGGAGCAGCUCACGACCGCAGGGUGCCUUCCCGGGGCCGAGGCCCACUUGCUUUUGUCCAAGGUUUCUGCAGGGCUGUGAAGACCGGCUGUCCCCAGAGUGCCAGGACACCAGAUUUAGCAAAUAAAACAUGGAGCGCCCAGUUAAAUUUGAAUUUCAGAUAAACAACACAUUUUUCUUAGCAUAAACAUGUACUCAAUAUUGCCUGGAAGGGGACAACGUACUUCCUCCACUGAAAAAAGCUAAAAUAAUUUAAUAGCAUUUCAUAGGUCCUAAAAAUGUCAUUUUUUCCCUCUAAGGUAAGAAAAAAAACAUUUUUUCUGCUCUAAGUGUUCUUCUUCCAGUUUUAAAGGAAAUUAAGACAUUUCAGUGGACUCCUGACAGUACUGGGGCUCUGGGCUUCCUGCCUCUGAUAUGCCACCAGGCCUGGCGAAGGUGGCCUUCCCUCUAAGCCUUGUCCCAGGUGGGUGCCAAUGGCAGUGGUUUCCUAGCACGUUGUCACCUCACAUGUCCUAAGCCUCGUGCCUCAAGCCAGGUUCUGGGGAAAAUAGAGGAGAAAUGUCACCUUGUCCCCUGCCCCUCUCAGAGACCUUCCGGUCCUGGCGGCUUGGUGUGAAUACAAGGAAGCGUGAAUCAGAUGUCGGUGCCCUGGAGGCGGGCCUGCGUGAGGUGUCUUUUCACAGCGUCACCUGGUGCUUAUCACCCUUUGCUCACUGGCCUUCCGGCGGCCUGGGUUUGGGACAAAUUUAGAUAUUCUGUCAUCUGACCAAAAUGGACCUUCAAAGAUUUCCCAGGGUCUUAACAAAUUCUCUGUCACCAGACCUUCCUCUAGGGAGCCAUGGAGGAUCGGGGGCAUCUGGGCUGUCCAGGCCCCUGGUGGAUUGGGCGCUUGGGGCCCCCAAAUGCCCAGAGGUGCCUCUGAUUUCUGGGAUUUGGGGGAUUUCUGCCUGGCCGGGGGCAGUGACUGACACGAAGGCCGGUUGCCAGGUUGAGCAAAUGAAAUACAAGAUUCCCAGUUAAAUUUGAAUUUUAGAUAAAUAGUUUUUUUAAGUAUGAGGAUAUCCCAAAUUGUGGGUGGAAUGGGACACACUCAAAAAUUAUCCAUUGUUUAUCGGUGUUGUGUGAACCCUACACUGAAGAAAAAAUAGGAAACUCAUGGAG